rnacentral:rRNA from 1 species
UACAGAGGGUGCUAGCGUUGUUCGGAAUCAUUGGGCGUAAAGGGCGUGUAGGCGGUUUGUUAAGUCAUGUGUGAAAUCCCUCGGCUCAACCGGGGAACGACGCAUGAAACUGGCAAGCUAGAGUACCAAAGAGGGGGGUGGAAUUCCCGGUGUAGCGGUGAAAUGCGUAGAGAUCGGGAGGAACACCAGUGGCGAAGGCGGCUACCUGGACCAGCACUGACACUGAGGCACGAAAGCGUGGGGAGCGAACAGG